AUUGAACGCUGGCGGCAGGCCUAACACAUGCAAGUCGAACGAGUGGCGGACGGGUGAGUAAUGUCUGGGAAAUUGCCCGAUGGAGGGGGAUAACUACUGGAAACGGUAGCUAAUACCGCAUUCCAUCGGAUGUGCCCAGUGGGGAUUAGCUAGUAGGGGGGGUAACGGCUCACUUAGGCGACGAUCCCUAGCUGGUCUGAGAGGAUGACCAGCCAAACUGGAACUGAUACACGGGCCAGACGCCUACGGGAGGCAGCAGUGGGGAAGAUGUGACAAUGGGCGCAAGCCGGAUGCAGCCAUGCCGCGUGUAUGAAGAAGGCCUGCGGGUUGUAGAGUACUUUCAGCUAGGAGGCGUUACUCGCAGAAGAAGCACCGGCUAACUCCGUGCCAGCAGCCGCGGUAAUAC
rnacentral:rRNA from 1 species